UGAAGAAAUCUGAAACUAAAGUGCUUCUGAGGAUGCUUGCAGCAUAUUACAACCAUGUUCGAGCAUUUGAGAACACUUUGGUCAUUAGAUUUUACGGUCUCCACUGUGUGAAGUUGACUGGACCAAUCCAAAAGAAGGUGCGGUUUGUCAUUAUGGGAAAUCUAUUUUGUUCUGAGUAC